rnacentral:rRNA from 1 species
GAUGAACGCUGGCGGCGUGCCUAAUACAUGCAAGUCGAGCGAACAGACGAGGAGCUUGCUCCUCUGACGUUAGCGGCGGACGGGUGAGUAACACGUGGAUAACCUACCUAUAAGACUGGGAUAACUUCGGGAAACCGGAGCUAAUACCGGAUAAUAUAUUGAACCGCAUGGUUCAAUAGUGAAAGACGGUUUUGCUGUCACUUAUAGAUGGAUCCGCGCCGCAUUAGCUAGUUGGUACGGUAACGGCUUACCAAGACGACGAUGCGUAGCCGACCUGAGAGGGUGAUCGGCCACACUGGAACUGAGACACGGUCCAGACUCCUACGGGAGGCAGCAGUAGGGAAUCUUCCGCAAUGGGCGAAAGCCCGACGGAGCAACGCCGCGUGAGUGAUGAAGGUCUUCGGAUCGUAAAACUCUGUUAUUAGGGAAGAACAAAUGUGUAAGUAACUAUGCACGUCUUGACGGUACCUAAUCAGAAAGCCACGGCUAACUACGUG